UACCCUUAGUACGAGUUUGACAGUUAACUUUAAGUAAUUUACUUUCGGUUUUCUUUUCAUACAAAUCCUAUCAGCGCCCCAAGCGUAAACGCAGAGGAACUAAAAUCGGUAGUAAGAGUUUUUAUAAUUAACGUUAUCAAGUUUGAAGUCGAAAUAACUGGCGGUUUUCGACAUUUUGGUAGUACGAGUAACACUUUUGACAGAUUUACGCAUGUAAAUUGACGUUUUCGUUAAUUUCUUAUCGAGUUUGAACUCACUUGAUUUAUUUAGGUGAGAGCAAGUGAAACUACAUUUUAAAAAUUAACUAUUAAGCGUGUGAGGCAAUAUUAUGCUUGAAGACUAGCUACAACCGUUAUGGUAGCCUUUUAUAACAAUAAAAAGCAACCAAAUUGAAUUCUGCGGUGAAAUUUAUCUUCAAUUAGCCGUAUUUUAAACUAACAUAUUUUCUUGAGAAUUGCCUUAGAAAAAAGUUAAUAAGUAUUUGUGUUAACAUGUGAAGAAGAAAUGAAUAAUAAAUAUUAAUUUAUUUUAAAUAUAUUUACAAAUAAGAUACAAACGCAAGGCUAUCAGUAUAUCUAUCCUUUAUUUGGAGCAGAUACGCUAGUAAUGAUGAUUUGGUGCAGACAAUAUCCAAAAAACAAGUGACCAUGCAUUAAACUGCAAUCUACAUUUCUACAUAAUUUCCUAUUUAUUUAAUUCAAACAAUAAAUAUACUAAAAAAUG